rnacentral:rRNA from 1 species
AUUGAACGCUGGCGGCAUGCCUUACACAUGCAAGUCGAACGGCAGCGGGGACUUCGGUCCGCCGGCGAGUGGCGAACGGGUGAGUAAUGUAUCGGAACGUACCAUUCAGUGGGGGAUAACUAUCCGAAAGGAUAGCUAAUACCGCAUAUUCUGUGAGCAGGAAAGCAGGGGAUCGCAAGACCUUGCGCUGAUUGAGCGGCCGAUAUCAGAUUAGCUAGUUGGUGAGGUAACGGCUCACCAAGGCUACGAUCUGUAGCGGGUCCGAGAGGAUGAUCCGCCACACGGGGACUGAGACACGGCCCAGACUCCUACGGGAGGCAGCAGUGGGGAAUUUUGGACAAUGGGCGCAAGCCUGAUCCAGCCAUGCCGCGUGAGGGAAGAAGGCCUUCGGGUUGUAAAGCUCUUUCGGCCGGGAAGAAAUCGCAUCAGCUAAUACCUGGUGUGGAUGACGGUACCGGAAUAAGAAGCACCGGCUAACUACGUGCCAGCCGCCGCCGUAA